CAGGGAUUCUGCCCUGGAACUGAGUGGCAGCCUAGGGGCUGCAGACUGACAUUGCCUCUGCGUUUUCUGUGGUCAAGUUCAGCUCUCAGAUACUACCCCAUGACAGGACCUGGGAGAGCAAAAGCAAAGCCUUGGAAUCCCUGUGAGUUAUCCAGUGAGUGACCGGGUUGCAUGGAGAGAGGGAGGAGGAGGAGGGGAAGGAGGAG
rnacentral:lncRNA from 1 species